rnacentral:rRNA from 1 species
GUCCUUUUGAUAAUAAUAUAAGGUCUAACCUGCCCACUGAAAUUUUAAAGGGCCGCAGUAUUUUAACUGUGCAAAGGUAGCAUAAUAAUUAGUUUCUUAAUUAGAAGCUGGUAUGAAUGGUUGAACGAGAAAUUUACUGUCUCAAUUUAUAUAUUAAAAUUUUAUUUUUAAGUUAAAAAGCUUAAAUUUAUUUAAAAGACGAGAAGACCCUAUAGAGUUUUAUAAAUUUAAUUAUAUUAUUUUUAGAAUUUUUUUUUAUUUAAAUUUAUUUUAUUGGGGUGAUAUAUAAAUUUAAUAAACUUUAUAUUUUUAAUAACAUUAAUUAAUGUUUAAUUGAUCCAUAUAAAUGAUUAAAAGAAAAAAUUACCUUAGGGAUAACAGCGUAAUUUUUUUUUAGAGUUCUAAUCGAAAAAAAAGAUUGCGACCUCGAUGUUGGAUUAAAAUUAAUUUUUGGUGUAGAAGCUAAAAUAUUAGGUCUGUUCGACCUUUAAAAUUUUACAUGAUCUGAGUUUAAACCGGUGUAAGCCAGGUUGGUUUCUAUCUUUAAAAAAAAUGAAUAUUUUAGUACGAAAGGACCAAGUAUUUUUAAAAUUUAAUGUUUUUUGAAUA